UACGUAGGGGGCAAGCGUUGUCCGGAAUUAUUGGGCGUAAAGAGCGCGUAGGCGGUCCGAUAAGUCGGCUGUGAAAGUCAGGGGCUCAACCCUUGGAAGCCGGCCGAUACUGUCGGACUAGAGUCCGGAAGAGGCGAGUGGAAUUCCCGGUGUAGCGGUGGAAUGCGCAGAUAUCAGGAGGAACACCGAUGGCGAAGGCAGAUCUCUGGGCCGUAACUGACGCUGAGGAGCGAAAGCAUGGGGAGCGAACAGG
rnacentral:rRNA from 1 species